AGCCCUGGGGUGUUACAUGUCAGAUUGCAAAUCUGAAGAGGCAGACUAAUCCCUGCCGGGGCUU
rnacentral:tRNA from 1 species